rnacentral:rRNA from 1 species
UACGGAGGAUCCAAGCGUUAUCCGGAAUCAUUGGGUUUAAAGGGUCCGUAGGCGGUUUGGUAAGUCAGUGGUGAAAGCCCAUCGCUCAACGGUGGAACGGCCAUUGAUACUGCCAGACUUGAAUUAUUAGGAAGUAACUAGAAUAUGUAGUGUAGCGGUGAAAUGCUUAGAGAUUACAUGGAAAUACCAAUUGCGAAGGCAGGUUACUACUAAUGGAUUGACGCUGAUGGACGAAAGCGUGGGUAGCGAAACAGG